AAUAAAUGAAUUUAUGAGUUUUUGAUAGAAUUUUUGACUCUUCGUCUUAUUUGAAUUUUUUGAUCAUUUUUUUAUUAGAUGAUAAAACAUAAAUAGUACUUUACAUAUGACUAUUUUUUAAUUUUUUAAUAAAAUUUUUAAAUAAGACCGAUGGUCAAACGCUUCAUACAUAAAACUCAAA
rnacentral:pre_miRNA from 1 species